rnacentral:lncRNA from 1 species
CAGAUCUAGCUACACAAGACAAUCACUUUCGCCCACUCGAAAAAGAAAGACAAUCGCUUUCGAAAUAGAAAAGAAUCGCACUUCUUGUAAAUUAAUUUUUGUAUGAAAAUUGUUUGGUUCCAUAGGUGGACAAAACACCCGGAUUCUGGAUAUCUUGGAAAGGUUGCUGAGCCGAACACACGGGCUCUGUCGGAAGGAACCAAGGUUCUUCACCAAACCUCACCAGACACCAGCAACUUGCCUCAGCCUUUUCUAUCUACUCUUAUAUCAUUCUGAGUUUGACCAAUCAGAAGCACGUCUCAUCGCCGAUCUGCGCGAGUGCCUGACUUGCGAGUUCGUCUUCGAUGCUUCCUCCUUCGAUCUUGGCGACCGGUCAGUUCACCUGUGCCGGUCGAGGUUGUCCGUUGACGGGUUCCUUUCCGGUCAGCCUGUGUCGCGGCGAGACCUGCUGGUUCUAAAAAACACAAGGAAGACAUGGACCUCAAGGCUACCAGUCUGACAUGCCACUCACCUGAAAGAGGAGAGCUGAAAGAGGAGAAGGCAGCAGGACGAAGCUCGCGGAUGGUGCAGAUGAUCGUCACCGUUGAUGCCGAUGCCACAUGUGGAGUAGCACAUCAAUGAAACGAAUCUGCGGGAGGUUUGGCUGGUGUGCUCCCAUUCUGCAAGGCGUUUCGUCGUGUCAACCAUGCCGUCAAAUGCUUCUUUUUUUUUUGCGUAUAAUGCCGUCAAAUGCAUAGAAAACAGUCGUUAUGAAGACAAGCAAGUGUAUAGAAGAGAAGAGUUACGGAUGUAAUGAGCUUGUAGAAAGUUCACCCCUAAAAAACAGAGCUUGUAAAAAGUUCUCCGGUGUUCAUCUAAAAGAAGAAGGUUCUGCAUUGUCAAUCAAUUUUGUAAUGUAUACUUGCGUGGUUGAGUCAACCAUACCGUCAAAUGUACAGAAAAGAGUCGUUAUCAAGACAAAACAAGUAGUAGAAAAUAAGAGUCGCGGUUAAGCUCGUAAAGUACUCCAGUGCUAAUUUUGUAUAGUAUAUAAUGCACUUGCG